GGAUCGAAGCCCCUGUUAACGGCUGCCUUAACUAUAACGGUCAUAAGUUAGCUAAAUUCCUUGUCGGGUAAUUUCCGACCUGCACGAAUGGCGUAACGAUGGCCACACUGUCUCCACCAGAGACUCAGUGAAAUUGAAAUCGAUGUGAAGAUGCAGUGUACCCGCGGUUAGACGGAAAGACCCCGUGAACCUUUACUAUAGCUUUGAACUGGACUUUGAAUAUUUAUGUGUAGGAUAGGUGGGAGACCAUGAAGC
rnacentral:rRNA from 1 species